GACGAACCGUGCGAACGUUGUUCGGAUUCACUGGGCUUAAAGGGCGCGUAGGCGGCUCGCCAAGUCAGGGGUGAAAUCUCCCGGCUCAACCGGGAAACAGCUUCUGAUACUGGCGGGCUGGAGGGAGGUAGGGGCGGAUGGAACUUCCGGUGGAGCGGUGAAAUGCGUAGAUAUCAUUUGGAACGCCAACGGCGAAAGCAGGCAGCUGGGGAUGCACCGACGCUGAGACACGAAAGCCAGGGGAGCGAACGGG
rnacentral:rRNA from 1 species